rnacentral:misc_RNA from 1 species
UUAAUUUCGUUUCAUCGUAUUGGGAUAUUCCGAAGAAUAUCACUGAUGAGUUUCAAUCAGAUUGUUGGUUCAUCACACUUGUCAGACAAGUGGAUUUUAAAAUGACCAGAAAUAUGCUUGCGCACAUUCUGGGAGAUGAAAAGUAUCCGAAAAUACUUUUCAAACAAUUUCAUUUCACGUGACUGAAGACGGAACUCGCCGAAGCUUGCUCCGAAUUCGUGUUUUUGAAGGUGUGGUAAUGAUCCUUCCGCAGGUUCACCUACGGAAA